rnacentral:rRNA from 1 species
GACGAACCGUGCGAACGUUAUUCGGAAUCACUGGGCUUAAAGCGCGUGUAGGCGGGACGGCACGUCGGUCGCUGAAAGCCCCCGGCUCAACCGGGGAACGGGCGCCGAUACGACCGUCCUGGAGGGACGUAGGGGGACCUGGAACAUCCGGUGGAGCGGUGAAAUGCGUUGAGAUCGGAUGGAACGCCCGUGGCGAAAGCGAGGUCCUGGACGUUUUCUGACGCUGAGACGCGAAAGCCAGGGGAGCGAACGGG